UGUUCACAUUAUACCUGAGUUAGAAGAUACAGGAUUUGUCUCAUGACUCUUCCUUACUUUUUUUUGGCAAAGUUCCACACAGAGAGGGGUAACAUGUGAAUGCCAGUCAUUUCCAGAUGUUCAGAACUGGGACACGACAACGUGAACACUUCGCUGGCUCCUGUGGCUGAGUCACUGGGGAGAGCACAAGAAAAUCUCUGUAUAAUGGAAAAAACAUCUGCUGUCACACCUUAAAGAACUCAGCAUGGCAACAGCAGGUCAGACACGCCUUUCACGUGGUCGUACCAGGACCCCCACAUCACUGAAACGAAGACACAUGUGCAUUUGGUCAGGACAAGCCAA